UGCUAUACAUGCAAGUCGAGCGGAGUUGAUGAGGUGCUUGCACCUCUGAUACUUAGCGGCGGACGGGUGAGUAACACGUGGGUAACCUGCCUGUAAGACUGGGAUAACAUUCGGAAACGAAUGCUAAUACCGGAUACGCGAUAUGGUCGCAUGACUGAAUCGGGAAAGAUGGAGCAAUCUAUCACUUAUAGAUGGACCCGCGGCGCAUUAGCUAGUUGGUGAGGUAACGGCUCACCAAGGCGACGAUGCGUAGCCGACCUGAGAGGGUGAUCGGCCACACUGGGACUGAGACACGGCCCAGACUCCUACGGGAGGCAGCAGUAGGGAAUCUUCCGCAAUGGACGAAAGUCUGACGGAGCAACGCCGCGUGAGUGAUGAAGGUUUUCGGAUCGUAAAGCUCUGUUGCCAGGGAAGAAUGCUUGGGAGAGUAACUGCUCCCAAGGUGACGGUACCUGAGAAGAAAGCCCCGGCUAACUACGUGCCAGCAGCCGCGGUAAUACGUAGGGGGCAAGCGUUGUCCGGAAUUAUUGGGCGUAAAGCGCGCGCAGGCGGCCUUGUAAGUCUGUUGUUUAAACUUGGGGCUCAACACCA
rnacentral:rRNA from 2 species